rnacentral:sRNA from 1 species
GCAACACACAACCCAACUCUCAUCUCAUCACAACCGCGCGAGCGAGCAGUCACCUGCAGCGCGCGGCGAUCGAUCGAUCGAUGGCGUCCGUGACGACGACGGUGACGCCGCCGCCGCCGAGAAAGAAGCCGCCGCCACAGCCACCGCCGUCACGGCCAACGAGUGAUCGAUGACGACCGAUCAUGGUGCUUUGAGAAUUGUAAUCGAGUUGUGACGCGCAAGAAGUCGUGAGUGGUUACGUGCAUGUAUCUUUUCUUCUUUUGUUUUGUUUUUUCGGUUUAUGAUCGGGUCUGCAUAUAUAUGUAAUCACGAUUAAUUUCUGCAUGAAUAAAAUCAAACAAAAUAUUGCGGACG